rnacentral:tRNA from 7 species
GAGCCGUUAGCUCAGUUGGUAGAGCAGCUGCCUUUUAAGCAGCGGGUCGAAGGUUCAAUCCCUUCACGGCUCACCA